rnacentral:rRNA from 1 species
GUCGAACGAUGAAGCCCUUCGGGGUGGAUUGGUGGCGAACGGGUGAGUAACACGUGGGCAAUCUGCCCUUCACUCUGGGACAAGCCCUGGAAACGGGGUCUAAUACCGGAUACCACUCCUGCCCGCAUGGGUAGGGGUUGAAAGCUCCGGCGGUGAAGGAUGAGCCCGCGGCCUAUUAUCUUGUUGGUGGGGUAAUGGCCCACCAAGGCUGACGACGGGUAGCCGGCCUGAGUAGGGCGACCUGGCCACACUUGGGACUGAGACACAGGCCCAGACUCCUAUGGGAGGCAGGCAUGUGGGGGAAUAUUGCACAAUGGGCCAAAGCCUGAUGCA